UGCAGGGAGGAGGCUGUCAGAGGCAGGCCAGAGGAGGCAGAUGGAACUUGGGCCAUCCAGACCUGUCCCCACCUGUCCCCUGUGUGCAGAGUUUUUAUUGCCAGAAGGAAAUCCCUAUCCCCAGAAGGAAAGGGACAAACACUGUGCCCGCCUCACAACUCUGGCACUGGCCCUGACUCUAAGGGGUGAGGACACUGAAGAAUCCAGGAUCCCAGCAUACUAGGGGUAUGUGUGAAAUGGGUACCAGGGGGUGUGACCUGCUAAGAAAUGGCAUCAGCACCAAAAACCAGAUGCCCAGAAGAACAGGUGAUAAGAAUGCAGGGCUGCCUGUGACAGGCGUGCCAGCUCCCCAAGGUAACCACAGCUAAGCCAGGACCUUCGGAUACACUCAUGCCCCUGCUCAGCCAGGAAUAGGACAGAUGCAGGCCCAAGUGCACACAGGGAGAGGAGACACAUUCUCUUGACCCAAGAUGGAUCCUCCUCUGUCUGAGAAGCCCGUUCUCUUCAGCUGAGAAGGGAUGUCCUCAAAGGUGUGAGGGGAAGGGGCCUGUCCUGAGCCAGGCAGAGCAGCUGCCACUAUCCGCAACAUCAGCAGCAGGACGCUUUGCAGCCCCAUCUCCCUGGGAGCCGUGGGAGGCAGAGCAGCAGAGGAGCCCAGGACCAGGCUCCCUCCCUCCUCCAAAGCAGAACAUCAGCCCCAGGAAUCCCACUUCAUGGGUUUUGUCUCAUGGGCCGGAUCUCCUGGGUGAAGCCUGUUUUCCCCUGGCCUGGGGGUUGGGUGGGAGGAUUGGGGGAGCCUGAACUCUCAAACUCCUUUGCCCUGGCCUCUGGUCCCACAGCUUUUUGUUGAUUAGCUCAGUAGCUGUAGUUGUUUCCUCGCUAGAUAGGGAGCCCUAAAGGCUGGGAUAGGGUCUACUUAUCCUGCUUCUCUGUGUAGCCUGGUACCAGGAUGGCCCAGGGCUAGAGGGGCCCAGGGAGGACCAGUUGACCAAGGAACCCCACUUGCUGAAGUGGAGAAAUGGGAAAUCAGAGAAGCCCACAGUGAUCUUUCAUGGAGGGAUCUGGAAUGCCAGGGCUGUACUGAAUCAGAGAAUGGGGAGUGGUUGGUGGUUCUCAAGUAGAGGAAUGACAUCGUCAGGCCAGUGUUCAGAGUAUGCAGGUGCAAAUGUCAAGGCUGGAUUGGAAGGGGAGAGACCAGUGAGGAAAUUGUUGGAAUGGUGUAGCCAGAGCUGUUGGAGCCACACAGCGGCCAUGCAUGAAGACGCAGCCUAUUCUGGACGCAGCCUUGAGCCAUGGGAGGCAGAAUGGAUUGGCAGGGACUCAAGUUAAAAGCCCUACCUCUUUGGGGGGUGGGUGCGCUAGAACUUUCAUUAGUCAAGUUGUGGUGGAGAGGGAGGCCACAAUGGUAGACUCAGGAGCUGCCCUGAGCCCACCGUUUCCCACUUCCCUUCUCCCUUGACUCCAGCAUCCUGAAUUGAUACUUGAGGAAAUCUAGCAGCCAGCGGAUUUUUGUCAGUGGCAAAGGGGAAGUUAGGAGCAGCACUCUUCUCUCCAUAGCUCUGCUGGGGCACUUGAGGCACAGGAUGUUCCAGUAACCCUAACCCUAAUGUCUGCCCAGUGCUCCUUGCAUGAGGCAUGGUGCCAAGGACUAUAUAGGUAUUGACUAAUUCAGUCCCUUUAUAAGGCUAUACGGUAGUUGUCACAAAGAUUCCCACUCAUAAACUAGGGACCUCAGGCUGUGAGGGCUUCAGCUAGUCAUAAGACAGACAGAAGGGAUGGGGCUGGGACUGGAGCCCAGGUCAGUGUGACACUGCGGCCGUGCCAUUGGCCGGAGCCUCACUCUUCAGGGAGAGCUCAGGAUCCCUGGAACUGCUUGUUUACGGAGUGGAUUCUCAGAAGCCCUCAGCGCCCGAGAUCCUGAUUCACGUCUGGGCUGGGACUGGGGAAUCUGUUCUCCAUGGCAGCUCAGAAGCAGGGAUCAGACAACCCCAUUCUGAGAUGCCCCGCCUGAUCUCACCCUCCUGGCAAAGCCUGCACAGCAUAUCCCUGCUGAGGACGCCGCUUGAGUAGAGUUGUGUGGGCUCGUAAACCUCCCUCCCUGUGAGGCCAGAGGUGCAUGCACCAUCUCUACUCAGGAAAGGAGUCUCCAGAACCCUUAUGGGGAAAGGGCUUAAUGCUCUAGAGGAAUUCUGGAGAUUCUGUGCUAGACUAAGGAGAAAGCCACUCUUGUCUACGGAGAUUUGCAAAAUCAGAGCAGAGGCGGCCAGCAGCAAAAGGGGACAGUGAGUUGUGGGUCUCUGCAGAGGCAGUGCCUGAAAGGAAGCGAGGGAGAUGAUGGCUCGUUGUCAAGUACGUACCUCAUGCCCUUAAGCCAGGCUGCAUGGCUCACAAGGCGUUUCACCUCUGAGCUGUCACCGGGAAACAGAUCCAACUUUCAAGGAGAGGAUACUGACAAGGCAACAGCGGCUCAGAUGGAAGAACAGUCAAGCUGGAGGGGACCUAUGAGGGAAGUGGCAGUGUCAAGACAUGUCUCUUCCCUGUCCCUAGCAGCAUGUGGCUCUGAGUGCUCUCCUGGUUUUUAUUCUGGGCUCAUCCUCUGACUUUUCUGGGAAGCACCCCCUGGUUGCUCCAGCCCACAUGGUUUUUCUCUAUCAAUUUCCCCAAUUCAGACAACUCACUGCUACUCCCUGUGUGCAGAAGCCUUGUGACACCUCUGGAAAUGUUGUAUGUGGUGAUUCCUUUCCUAGCUACAUAAACAGAGGCAAAGAACUUGACUUUGGUGAGUUUCAGUAACUAUAAAAUGGGUAUCAUGACGUGUAGGUUAUAGAGUUGUUAUGAAGACUAAGCAAAAUGGCCUGUGCUUGGGGAGGAAAGUGGGACCCUCCAUGUUAGUUCUCCUCCAACCUUCUCUCCCAGCCAUUCUGCACAUCUUUGUGCUUUUCUGAUCUUCCCCACAAGCCCUGUCUAUAGCAGCUGCUCAAAUGUUUGGAGUCUGACAGUCUUAACCCAGAGCAAUUCACUCUAGUGAGAUCAGGGAUUCUGAGCAGACCUGUUCCAGGAGACUCCUCCACUUUGUUGCUGGAUUGGAGGCACAAGCAAAGGAAUAAUGGAGUGUCUGCCCAAUCUGAUCUCUCACCGUGAAGUCUUGUGGUGACCGUGGCCCCUGGUUCAAGGUGAGCUUAAGGGAAUGUAUAGUUUUCAAGCUUUCCUUUGGCUGUUAGAGCACAAAUGGAUUCCUAACACCCCAGUCCAGUAGCCAACCCAGGAAACACCUGUGUACAGAAUACAAAUACCAAUAUGAUUUUAUUCAAACACAGGCAGGAACAAGGACCUUCAGAGCUGGGUAAAAACAAUAAGUUAAAAGCAUGGUUAGAAUUUCAGAUAAUCAAAAAAAGUCCAAAGGAGGUGAUUUCCCCCCCCUCCUUUUCUAUUGAUUAAUUCAACACAGCAUAAAAAUAAUUUAUAUCUAUAAAAUACCCUUAUUUCUAAGCAAAUCAGCGGAGGUGGCCCAAGGAUUUCCUCAGCUAUGCACAACACAAUCUCCACCCCCACCUCUACCCCACCCAAACUUUAAGUCAAAAAUGGCCCAUGAUAUUCAGGCAGAAGGUGGGCUCAUGUCAGCAGUAGGCUAUCAAGGACAUUGGAAGGAGUUUCUCAGCCGAGAGAUGCCUGCUUGGGUCCCUUGGUCAAAAGAUGGGUGGUUCCACUUGGGUACUGGAGUCCAUUUUGUUUAGAAGGAAGAAGCUGAAAUCCUAGCAGGUGUACUUUGGACUGGUUUGGGACAUUCCUCCAGGCUGCACUGGAUGGGGUCCCAAGGCACCCAUGGACUAGGCUGGUGGUAGUUUCAGGGCUCUCAUGGCCUUGAAGGAAGCAGACCUUGUGUCUCAUGUGAGCCGGACAAGGCCAAAGAAAGGUGGGAGGAGGAUCCUUCCCUUUGUCUUUCAGUCUGUAUUAGUCUUUCUGGGAGUACUGGGAAGAAAAUAUCCGUGCGAUCCUGCGAGUUUCCUCCUCAGGCAAGUUGGGAGGCAGCGAGUUGGGUCUGGGACGACAAGGCCUUCUGGACAAGACUCUGCUGGAGGCCUCACUCCUGUCCUGAAAGAAGAAGUCAGCUAGGUGAGGAUAUGGCACCUCCAAGAAAUGACUUUGGUUCCUCUCAUAUAUUGGUUCUCUGGCUAAUAUUGAUAUAGAGCUGACUGGUUUACAAAGCACUUUAUGGACCUGACCUUGUUUAACCCUCAUCUCAACCUCACGGGUGGGCACGUUGUUCCUACGUCAUGGACAGGAAACUAGAGUUCAGGUUUAAAUAAACUCAAGGUCCCACAGCAUGGCAUGGCAGAGCCGGGAUGUGAACCCUAGCUGAGACUCUGUGUGCCUGUGGAGGAGGAGCAGUCCCCUCUGGGACAGGACUAAAGCCUCAUCCCUUCUCUUGCUGCAUGAAUAUGGGUCUACUAUGAAGGUGAAAUGAAAUUCAUAUGUGACCAAGGGUCUGGUCAGCUACAUCUUGUGAAACACCUGCUACAGAGAGGACUUGCUGUUCUCAGACCUCACGCCAGGCAGAGCAGAAGUAAGGGAAGUUGAUAAAACUAAUUUACCCACAAGCAGCAAAGCAAACAGAAUCAGACGUAACUUUCAAUAAAACCAGGAAGCUGUCCCAGCGAAGAGGUCCUUGAUCAUGGGAGGAAAAAGGAAGAAUUCCUCCUUGCCCAGCAACAACGUAGCCAAGGUGAACUCAGCAGAAAAGUCCCUCCCAGGUUCCUCCCUUCACCCUGUAAAAGUUAGCAGAAUCAACCUAAGAACUAAAACACUGCUAAUAUUGUUGUAUAGACCUGUGUUCUUCCUCCCCUAUCCUACCCCUGCCUCCACAAUCAUGAACAUUGUGGUCAAAUGUUAAAAAGGUCACAUUACCAUUCUGGGCAACAGUAAGAAUGACGCCUGCUUCUCAUCAGAAACAAUGUAAGUCAGAGUGCGGAAUGAUUGCUCUAAAAUGCUAAAACAAAAUUCAAGUUGGAAUUCUAUAGCCAGUGGGAAAGAAUAUUCUUGAAAAAUGAAGGCAAAAUAAAGAUAUUUUCAGACAACUGAAGCUGUUGCCAGUAGGUCUGCAGUACAUGAAAUUCUAAAGGAAGUUCUUUGUGCUAAAAGGAAAUGAUCCUGGCCAGAAAUCAGGAUGUGAAGAAGGAAUGGAGAACACCAGCAAGUAUGUUGGCAAAUAUGAACGUCUGGUUUUUGUCUUAAAUUCUUCAAAGAGGUUACUCUGAAGACCUUCCGACACCAUAAGCUGAGAUUAUGGGGCUCCUGCCCAAGUAUAAUUCAUAAUUAGAUCUAAAAUAAACCA